UACGGGGGGAGCAAGCGUUGUUCGGAUUUACUGGGCGUAAAGGGCGCGUAGGCGGUCGUGACAAGUCACUUGUGAAAUCUCCGGGCUUAACUCGGAACGGUCAAGUGAUACUGUCGGACUAGAGUACAGAAGGGGCAACUGGAAUUCUCGGUGUAGCGGUGAAAUGCGUAGAUAUCGAGAGGAACACCUGCGGCGAAGGCGGGUUGCUGGGCUGAUACUGACGCUGGGGCGCGAAAGCGUGGGGAGCGAACAGG
rnacentral:rRNA from 1 species